rnacentral:rRNA from 1 species
UACGGAGGGAGCUAGCGUUGUUCGGAAUUACUGGGCGUAAAGCGCUCGUAGGCGGCUUGUUAAGUCAGGGGUGAAAUCCCGGGGCUCAACCCCGGAACUGCCCUUGAAACUGGAGAGCUAGAAUCUUGGAGAGGCGAGUGGAAUUCCGAGUGUAGAGGUGAAAUUCGUAGAUAUUCGGAAGAACACCAGUGGCGAAGGCGACUCGCUGGACAAGUACUGACGCUGAGGUGCGAAAGCGUGGGGAGCAAACAGG